AAGUUUCUGAAUUUGUGUCGAGAUUUUGUUAGAGACCAAACCACCAGGGGUGAUGAGACUAUCAAGAUAAGUGAAAUA
rnacentral:pre_miRNA from 1 species